UCACAUGCAAGUCGAACGGUAACAUUUCUAGCUUGCUAGAAGAUGACGAGUGGCGGACGGGUGAGUAAUGCUUGGGGACUUGCCUUUGCGAGGGGGAUAACAGUUGGAAACGACUGCUAAUACCGCAUAAUGUCUUCGGACCAAACGGGGCUUCGGCUCUGGCGCAAAGAGAGGCCCAAGUGAGAUUAGCUAGUUGGUAAGGUAACGGCUUACCAAGGCGACGAUCUCUAGCUGUUCUGAGAGGAAGAUCAGCCACACUGGGACUGAGACACGGCCCAGACUCCUACGGGAGGCAGCAGUGGGGAAUAUUGCACAAUGGGGGAAACCCUGAUGCAGCCAUGCCGCGUGUGUGAAGAAGGCCUUCGGGUUGUAAAGCACUUUCAGUUGUGAGGAAAAGUUAGUAGUUAAUACCUGCUAGCCGUGACGUUAACAACAGAAGAAGCACCGGCUAACUCCGUGCCAGCAGCCGCGGUAAUACGGAGGGUGCGAGCGUUAAUCG
rnacentral:rRNA from 1 species